rnacentral:rRNA from 1 species
UACGUAGGGGGCGAGCGUUGUCCGGAUUUACUGGGCGUAAAGGGCGCGUAGGCGGCUUUUCAAGCGUGCGGUGAAAGCUCGGGGCUUAACUCCGAGUCUGCCGUGCGAACUGGGAGGCUUGAGUCUGGUAGAGGUCGAUGGAAUUCCGGGUGUAGCGGUGGAAUGCGUAGAGAUCCGGAAGAACACCGGUGGCGAAGGCGGUCGACUGGGCCAGAACUGACGCUGAGGCGCGACAGCGUGGGGAGCAAACAGG